rnacentral:rRNA from 1 species
AUGAACGCUAGCGCAGGCCUAACACAUGCAAGUCAGGGGCAGCACAAGGAGCAAUCUGAGGUGGCGACCGGCGCACGGGUGAGUAACACGUAUGCAACCUGCCUGUAAGCGGGGAAUAACCCGUUGAAAGACGGACUAAUACCGCAUAAUACUAAAUUACUGCAUGGUAAUUUAUUUAAACAUUUAUGGCUUACAGAUGGGCAUGCGCAUGAUUAGCUAGUUGGAGAGGUAACGGCUCCCCAAGGCAACGAUCAUUAGGGGUUCUGAGAGGAAGGUCCCCCACACUGGUACUGAGACACGGACCAGACUCCUACGGGAGGCAGCAGUGAGGAAUAUUGGUCAAUGGACGAGAGUCUGAACCAGCCAAGUCGCGUGCAGGAAGAAUGUCCUUAAUGGAUUGUAAACUGCUUUUGCAGGGGAAUAAAGUGCAUCACGUGUGAUGUUUUGUAUGUACUCUGCGAAUAAGGAUCGGCUAACUCCGUGCCAGCAGCCGC